GGUAAGAAAAUGCUACCCUGAACAAGCCCGAUCCUCCCUGAUCUCAGAAGCUAAGCAGCAUUGAGCCUGGUUAGUACUUGGAUGGGAGACCACCUAGGAAGACCAGGUGCUGUAGGCA
rnacentral:rRNA from 1 species